rnacentral:tRNA from 1 species
GCGGAUGUGGUCCAGUGGUAGGACAGUAGCUUCCCAAGCUACCGGCCCGGGUUCAAUUCCCGGCAUCCGCA